rnacentral:rRNA from 1 species
ACACGGAGCUUGCUCUGUGGGAUCAGUGGCGAACGGGUGAGUAACACGUGAGCAACCUGCCCCUGACUCUGGGAUAAGCGCUGGAAACGGCGUCUAAUACUGGAUAUGUGACGUGACCGCAUGGUCUGCGUCUGGAAAGAAUUUCGGUUGGGGAUGGGCUCGCGGCCUAUCAGCUUGUUGGUGAGGUAAUGGCUCACCAAGGCGUCGACGGGUAGCCGGCCUGAGAGGGUGACCGGCCACACUGGGACUGAGACACGGCCCAGACUCCUACGGGAGGCAGCAGUGGGGAAUAUUGCACAAUGGGCGCAAGCCUGAUGCAGCAACGCCGCGUGAGGGACGACGGCCUUCGGGUUGUAAACCUCUUUUAGCAGGGAAGAAGCGAAAGUGACGGUACCUGCAGAAAAAGCGCCGGCUAACUACGUGCCAGCAGCCGCGGUAAUACGUAGGGUGCAAGCGUUAUCCGGAAUUAUUGGGCGUAAAGAGCUCGUAGGCGGUUUGUCGCGUCUGCUGUGAAAUCCGGAGGCUCAACCUCCGGCCUGCAGUGGGUACGGGCAGACUAGAGUGCGGUAGGGGAGAUUGGAAUUCCUGGUGUAGCGGUGGAAUGCGCAGAUAUCAGGAGGAACACCGAUGGCGAAGGCAGAUCUCUGGGCCGUAACUGACGCUGAGGAGCGAAAGGGUGGGGAGCAAACAGGCUUAGAUACCCUGGUAGUCCACCCCGUAAACGUUGGGAACUAGUUGUGGGGUCCAUUCCACGGAUUCCGUGACGCAGCU